ensembl:lncRNA
GUGAUAUUGGUUCAGAGGGGUUGGGGGGGCUGAAAGAUUGAGUUAAUUAUGUGGCUUGUGAUUCCAUUUAUCAAGCCUGUGUAAUGAAACCCCAAGAAAAACUCAGGACACUGAGGCUCGAGUGAAGUCCUGUCUAGUGAACACAUACAUGUGCUGGGUGGGCGAUGUACUCUGGAAAGGAAACAGGAGCUCCUAGUGUGGGACCCUCCUGGACUUUUCCCUAUGUGCCUUUUCAGUUGGCUGGUCCUGAUUUUUGUGUGUGUGCACGCUAAGUCACUUCAGUCCUGUCUAACUCUUUGCAACCCCAUGGACUGUAGCCGGUCAGGCUCCUCUGUCCAUGGGAUUCUCCAGGCAAGAAUACUGGAGUGGGUUGCCAUGCCCUCCUCCAAGGAAUAUUCCAAACCCAGGAAUUGAACCUGCAUCUCUUAUAUGUCUCCUACAUUGGCAGGCAGGUUCUUUACCACUAAUGCCGCCUGAUUUGUAUCCUUUAUAAUAAAAUUGAAAUCGUUAAGUCUAGUACUUGCCUGAGUUCUGAGUCACUCUAGUGAAUUAUCAACCUGAGCGGGUAAUGGGAUCCCCCAAAUACCUAGCUGGUUAUUCAGAAAUCUGGGUGGCUUGAGGACCGCCUCCACCCCCAUCCCAAUGCAAAUCUGUGGCUUGCUUGUGGUACAAAGGCAGUCUCAUCGGAGACUGUGCCCCUAGCCUGCAGAGUCUGAGCUAACCCAGAUCCCAUAUUCUGGGAUGGGAGUUACAUUGCAGGAAUGCAGAUGUGAAAAGCAAAGAGGAAGCCACACUCCCCUGAGGCUGCCAUGGUAGCAAGCGCUGGAGAUGAGGAAAUCUCCAAGGGCAAAAUGCACCUUUACAGACCUCACCUGAUCUUGCAAGCAGGACAUGUUCCUCUACUGCCAACGUGAGAGGAGCUGGGCUUCAGCUCAAAUUCGCAUAAUGAAGUAUGCAAAUUUCCUCAGGCCCUGUAGGUACAAAUGAGGUCACAUUCAUGACCUUGUUUCUCAAGUUCUUGCCAGCAUCCUCCCCUGCAAAGUGCCUGUGCCCCAUGAGAAUUUCUGGGAGCGCCUGGGGGGUGUACUCAUGAACACGCAAAGGUCUACUGGAUGCUGUGCUUCCACCGGACCACACUGUGGUAGAUGUCUUCCACUUGCCCCUCCAGACCACCUCCCCACCCUCCGGCCAUGCCCAGUGUCCUGCAAUGCUGACCUUUGUGAAUGGGCUCAUCCAAGGCUACUUUGCCCUGGCUUCUGGUCAGGUUCAGCCAAUGGAAGGCACUGGGAGCAGGAAGUUAUUGCUUCCUCGAACUUGCAGUGAGUUGUCUAAUUCUCCUAACAAAGGCUGCAGCUCUGACCAGGUGGCCGUAUUCUAACCACUUCAGCACUUGUGCCUUCAGGUCUAGGAGAGAUGAAGCCUGCUCACCCUGGGAUUCCUCACCACUUUGAAAAGUUCAAGAAAGUUGUUCCUGGGAGGCAAUGAAAUGGAGUCUUUCAAGGGGAGAAAUAUGGAGAGAACAGAGACAGUAACUGAAAGAUGAUGGUCUUGAGGUUUAAAAGAAAC